rnacentral:rRNA from 1 species
UUCGGAUCGCAGGCUGCAACCCGCCUGCGUGAAGUCGGAAUCGCUAGUAAUCGCGGAUCAGCAUGCCGCGGUGAAUACGUUCCCGGGCCUUGCACACACCGCCCGUCACACCAUGAGAGUCGGGAACACCCGAAGUCCGUAGCCUAACAGCAAUGAGGGCGCGGCCGAAGGUGGGUUCGAUAAUUGGGGUGAAGUCGUAACAAGGUAAC